GAUGAACGCUAGCGGCAGGCUUAACACAUGCAAGUCGAGGGGUAUGGUUCUUCGGAACCAGAGACCGGCGCACGGGUGCGUAACGCGUAUGCAAUCUACCUUUUUACAGAGGGAUAGCCCAGAGAAAUUUGGAUUAAUACCUCAUAGUAUAACAUGACCGCAUGGUCGAGUUAUUAAAGUCACAACGGUAAAAGAUGAGC
rnacentral:rRNA from 1 species